rnacentral:rRNA from 1 species
UGUGAACUCGAAGAGUAGGGCGGGACACGUGGUAUCCUGUCUGAAUAUGGGGGGACCAUCCUCCAAGGCUAAAUACUCCUGACUGACCGAUAGUGAACCAGUACCGUGAGGGAAAGGCGAAAAGAACCCCGGCGAGGGGAGUGAAAAAGAACCUGAAACCGUGUACGUACAAGCAGUGGGAGCCUCUUUAUGGGGUGACUGCGUACCUUUUGUAUAAUGGGUCAGCGACUUAUAUUCUGUAGCAAGGUUAACCGUAUAGGGGAGCCGAAGGGAAACCGAGUCUUAACUGGGCGUUAAGUUGCAGGGUAUAGACCCGAAACCCGGUGAUCUAGCCAUGGGCAGGUUGAAGGUUGGGUAACACUAACUGGAGGACCGAACCGACUAAUGUUGAAAAAUUAGCGGAUGACCUGUGGCUGGGGGUGAAAGGCCAAUCAAACCGGGAGAUAGCUGGUUCUCCCCGAAAGCUAUUUAGGUAGCGCCUCGUGAACUCAUCUUCGGGGGUAGAGCACUGUUUCGGCUAGGGGGCCAUCCCGGCUUACCAACCCGAUGCAAACUACGAAUACCGAAGAAUGUUAUCACGGGAGACACACGGCGGGUGCUAACGUCCGUCGUGAAGAGGGAAACAACCCAGACCGCCAGCUAAGGUCCCAAAGUCAUGGUUAAGUGGGAAACGAUGUGGGAAGGCACAGACAGCCAGGAUGUUGGCUUAGAAGCAGCCAUCAUUUAAAGAAAGCGUAAUAGCUCACUGGUCGAGUCGGCCUGCGCGGAAGAUGUAACGGGGCUAAACCAUGCACCGAAGCUGCGGCAGCGACACUAUGUGUUGUUGGGUAGGGGAGCGUUCUGUAAGCCGUUGAAGGUGUGCUGUGAGGCAUGCUGGAGGUAUCAGAAGUGCGAAUGCUGACAUAAGUAACGAUAAAGCGGGUGAAAAGCCCGCUCGCCGGAAGACCAAGGGUUCCUGUCCAACGUUAAUCGGGGCAGGGUGAGUCGACCCCUAAGGCGAGGCCGAAAGGCGUAGUCGAUGGGAAACAGGUUAAUAUUCCUGUACUUGGUGUUACUGCGAAGGGGGGACGGAGAAGGCUAUGUCAGCCGGGCGACGGUUGUCCCGGUUUAAGCAUGUAGGCGGAGGUUCCAGGUAAAUCCGGUACCUUUUAACGCUGAGGUGUGAUGACGAGGCACUACGGUGCUGAAGUGAUAAAUGCCCUGCUUCCAGGAAAAGCCUCUAAGCAUCAGGUAACACGAAAUCGUACCCCAAACCGACACAGGUGGUCAGGUAGAGAAUACCAAGGCGCUUGAGAGAACUCGGGUGAAGGAACUAGGCAAAAUGGUGCCGUAACUUCGGGAGAAGGCACGCUGAUAUGUAGGUGAAGCCCCUGCGGGCGGAGCUGAAAUCAGUCGAAGAUACCAGCUGGCUGCAACUGUUUAUUAAAAACACAGCACUGUGCAAACACGAAAGUGGACGUAUACGGUGUGACGCCUGCCCGGUGCCGGAAGGUUAAUUGAUGGGGUUAGCGGCAACGCGAAGCUCUUGAUCGAAGCCCCGGUAAACGGCGGCCGUAACUAUAACGGUCCUAAGGUAGCGAAAUUCCUUGUCGGGUAAGUUCCGACCUGCACGAAUGGCGUAAUGAUGGCCAGGCUGUCUCCACCCGAGACUCAGUGAAAUUGAACUCGCUGUGAAGAUGCAGUGUACCCGCGGCAAGACGGAAAGACCCCGUGAACCUUUACUAUAGCUUGACACUGAACACUGGUCCUUGAUGUGUAGGAUAGGUGGGAGGCUUUGAAGCGUGGACGCCAGUCUGCGUGGAGCCAUCCUUGAAAUACCACCCUUUAAUGGCUGGUGUUCUAACGUAGACCCGUAAUCCGGGUUGCGGACAGUGUCUGGUGGGUAGUUUGACUGGGGCGGUCUCCUCCCAAAGAGUAACGGAGGAGCACGAAGGUUGGCUAAUCCUGGUCGGACAUCAGGAGGUUAGUGCAAUGGCAUAAGCCAGCUUGACUGCGAGCGUGACGGCGCGAGCAGGUGCGAAAGCAGGUCAUAGUGAUCCGGUGGUUCUGAAUGGAAGGGCCAUCGCUCAACGGAUAAAAGGUACUCCGGGGAUAACAGGCUGAUACCGCCCAAGAGUUCAUAUCGACGGCGGUGUUUGGCACCUCGAUGUCGGCUCAUCACAUCCUGGGGCUGAAGUAGGUCCCAAGGGUAUGGCUGUUCGCCAUUUAAAGUGGUACGCGAGCUGGGUUUAGAACGUCGUGAGACAGUUCGGUCCCUAUCUGCCGUGGGCGCUGGAGAAUUGAGGGGGGCUGCUCCUAGUACGAGAGGACCGGAGUGGACGCAUCACUGGUGUUCGGGUUGUCAUGCCAAUGGCACUGCCCGGUAGCUAAAUGCGGAAGAGAUAAGUGCUGAAAGCAUCUAAGCACGAAACUUGCCCCGAGAUGAGUUCUCCCUGAGACUUUAAGUCUCCUGAAGGAACGUUGAAGACGACGACGUUGAUAGGUCGGGUGUGUAAGCGCAGCGAUGCGUUGAGCUAACCGAUACUAAUGAACCGUGAGGCUUAACCUUACAACGCCGAAG